UACGUAGGCAGCAAGCGUUGUUCGGAGUUACUGGGCGUAAAGGGUGUGUAGGCGGCUCUUUAAGUUUGUGGUGAAAUCUCCCGGCUCAACUGGGAGGGUGCGCCGAAUACUGAGGGACUAGAGUACGGGAGAGGAAAGUGGAAUUCCUGGUGUAGCGGUGAAAUGCGUAGAUAUCAGGAGGAACACCGGUGGUGUAGACGGCUUUCUGGACCGUAACUGACGCUGAGACACGAAAGCGUGGGUAGCAAACAGG
rnacentral:rRNA from 1 species